AUUGAACGCUGGCGGCAUGCCUUACACAUGCAAGUCGAACGGUAACAGGUCUUCGGAUGCUGACGAGUGGCGAACGGGUGAGUAAUACAUCGGAACGUGCCUAGUAGUGGGGGAUAACUACUCGAAAGAGUGGCUAAUACCGCAUGAGAUCUACGGAUGAAAGCAGGGGAUCGCAAGACCUUGUGCUACUAGAGCGGCCGAUGGCAGAUUAGGUAGUUGGUGGGAUAAAAGCUUACCAAGCCGACGAUCUGUAGCUGGUCUGAGAGGACGAUCAGCCACACUGGGACUGAGACACGGCCCAGACUCCUACGGGAGGCAGCAAUGGGGAAUUUUGGACAAUGGGCGCAAGCCUGAGCCAGCAAUGCCGCGUGCAGGAUGAAGGCCUUCGUGUUGUAAACUGCUUCUGUACGGAACGAAAAGCCCCGGGUUAAUACCCUGGGGUCAUGACGGUACCGUAAGAAUAAGCACCGGCUAACUACGUUCCAGCCGCCGCCGUAA
rnacentral:rRNA from 1 species